rnacentral:lncRNA from 1 species
AAAAUGGUUCGCCUUAGCAGGGUGAAAUUUUAAAAGCGCAUAAACUAUACGAUACCAUAUGAGAAAUAUCUAAGCGACAUAUUGCGAAACAAACAUUUAUCGCAAGACACAAAUUUUGGCGGAAGAAAAAAAAAAAAAAAUAAUCAGAAGAAAAACAAUAAGUCUUUCCACAGAAAAGUGGAAAGACUUAAUAAUAAUCAGAACAAAUACAAUAGGCUUUCCACAGACAAGUGGAAAGACCUAAUAAUAAUAAUAA